rnacentral:rRNA from 1 species
UUUGGUCCUAGCCUUAUUAUCAGUUGUCUCUUAACUUACACAUGCAAGUCUCAGCGCCCCCGUGAGGAAGCCCUUAUUACCUACCCCAGGAUAAGGAGCCGGUAUCAGGCUCAACUUUUGCCCAUGACACCUAGUCCUUACCACGCCCCCAAGGGUUAUCAGCAGUGAUAGACAUUAUUUAUAAGCGACAGCUUGACUUAGUUAAAGAGAANAUAGUUGGCCAACACGGUGCCAGCCGCCGCGGUUAUACCCUCCUGAGCUAAAAUUGAUAAUUAUCGGCGUUAAGCGUGAUUAAAGCUAUUUAUGAAUUAGAGUAAAACUCCUUGCCCAGCUGUGAAAAGCUUGCAUUGCGGAAUUCUAUGAACGAAAGUCACUCUAACUUACGCUUGAACACACGACACCUAGGAACA